GUUUGAUCAUGGCUCAGGAUGAACGCUGGCGGCGUGCCUAAUACAUGCAAGUCGAGCGGUAAGGCUCCUCCAGGUUAUUUAAUCAAGACAACUUCGGUUGUCACAGCAAACUAUUUCAACCCCGGCUAGGGAAGAAAUGGGGCGGGAAGAUUGAACAACGUGGUGGAGUACGCGAGCGGCGGACGGCUGAGUAACACGUAGGAACGUACCCCAAACUGAGGGAUAAGCACCAGAAAUGGUGUCUAAUACCGCAUGUGAUCUUCGGAUUAAAGCUUCGGCGGUUUGGGAACGGCCUGCGCAUGAUUAGUUUGUUGGUGAGGUAAUGGCUCACCAAGACUACGAUCAUUAGCUGGUCUGAGAGGAUGAUCAGCCAGACUGGGACUGAGAACGGCCCAGACUCCUACGGGAGGCAGCAGUAGGGAAUUUUCCACAAUGGGGGCAACCCUGAUGGAGCAACGCCGCGUGCAGGAUGAAACCCUUC
rnacentral:rRNA from 1 species